AUCCCUUGGCAGGGGAGACACUAUGAUCACGAAGGUGGUUUUCCCAGGGUGAGGCUCAUCUAUUGCACUCCGAGCAUGCUGACCCAUGCGAUUUCCCCAAAUGCGGGAAACUUGACUGUAUAAUUUGUGGAUCAAAUUAUGCAGUUGAGUUUCUUGCAU